CGGAAAGAGAGAGAACAGGAGAAACGGAAGUUCACUUCAGGUCCUAGGUCACGUGGUGAAUUUGGCAGAGCUUGACCGGGAACGCCUGCUUUUGUUAGACUUUGAGACUUGUAGGAAAACACUCCAAACAAAGGCCUUAAGACGAAUCUACCAGUUGAGGUAGGAAAUCCACUGAGAUAUUUAGUAGACAGAACUUGAUAAUUUCUUUCCUUUCAUAUUUUCAUUUUAGAUCUUCAGAACUUUUAUUCAGGGGAGAAAGGCCCAGGUAGCUGCUGCUGUUCAGCUUAAGGCUAAUCUGACCUUCUAUAACAGGAGUUCAAGUCCCAGAAAUCCCUGGUCCUCCAUCAGAGCUCAACCAGAAGCAGCUAGUGUGUACUGCUCUCACAGAGAGAAAUAGAUGGGGCGAGUAAAUACUGCACUUUCAACCGAAACAUACAGAUACACAUGUUGGAAUUCAUCAAGAAAACAACCUGACCCAUGGAGAAUGGAGAAAAGCAGGGCAGGACAACCGCCCACACGGGAGAAACAUGGAGCCAGGGGAACCUCCCCAUCCAGGGAAGCCGUGAGUGAAUGAGCGACCCUGCGGACCAAUGCUUCUCCCAUGGAUCGUUGCUACUCUUGGGUCAGGAGAUCCCCUCAUGAACCCACUCCACUAGGGCCUUCAGUCAGAUACACAGAGCUAUGGGGAGUCUUGGCAGAGCAGCCGCUCAGGUACACACGGAGCCCCAGGAGCCUUAGAUAUCCUGGCUUCCUGGCAAAAGUAACUGCUACUCCAGCAAAGUGGGAGGUUAGACCCCCAUACCUACUCCUAUGAAAGGGGCUGAAUCCAGGGGGCUGAGCAGCGAUGAUCUGCAGGCCUCACUUCCAUAGCACUUCAGAGGUCACAGGAUAAGACCCACUGGCUUGGAACUCUAGCCAGCUGCUGGUAGCAGCAUUACACAUCCCUGAGAGGGAGCUCUCAGAGGAAGGGGUAGGCGGCCAUCUUUGCUGUUUCACAGCCUCAGUCCUUGUUGCCUUCAGGCUUUAGAGAGUGCAAGGUGAUCAAUCAGUGACUGGAGUGGACCCCCAGCACAACAUGGCUGUCCUGUGGAAAAGUGGCCAGACUGCUUUUUUACACAAGUCUCCAAACCUGUUUCUCCUCACUGGAUGAGUCCUCCUGGCCUGGGUCUCCACCCACCCCCUGCCAGGGAUAUUGAGCCAGUAGCAGCUCCAUAACUCUCUGGGAAAGCGCUCCCAGUGUUUGGGGGUUGGGGGGUGAGAGGGUGGGGGGUGUGAUGUUUGCUGUCUUGCAGCCCUUGCCCUUACUGUCUCCAGGCUCUGAAAAGUCCUCUGUGAGUACCAGGGGCUGGUCCAGACCCCCAGCACAGAGCGCCCACCUUAGAAAAGCGGUCAGACUGUUCCCCACAAGUCCCAGUCCUCACUGCAUAGGGUUGCCCGACCUGGGACUCCAGCACCACCAUCCUGUUUCCGCCUGACCACUUCAAUCAGAGGCACCCCCGCAUUUCUUCGAAGAGGAAAUAAAUACCAGAGUGAACCCACAAA